CGCGAAACCAGGCGGUGGGCAUAUAUAAACUGAGGUCUGUGCCCAUCGCGGACACAGCCUGGGUCAUUUGAGUGGACAUUCCUGUGUACAUCAACUGCCAGUUUUCCUGAGUGCCGACUACCCCUGCUUCUUCUACCCCAAAGGCUCUUUUAAGGGCCGAAAAACAUCUUUGGAAAUCAGCUGAAUAAAUCCAAUUCGAUCUUUUAAAGCCAUCUAAACACAGAACAUCUGAGCUUUGAGAAUUUGCAAAGCAACAACAUCACAAGAUCCAAGUAAUAAUACACAAUACAUUAGAACC